AAUAAGGCCGGAAAAAGAGCAUGGCUCAAGUCAGCGCUCAAGUCCGAAAAAAAAA
rnacentral:SRP_RNA from 1 species